UACAGAGGUCUCAAGCGUUGUUCGGAUUCAUUGGGCGUAAAGGGCGCGUAGGCGGCGGGGUAAGUCGGGGGUGAAAUCUCAGAGCUCAACUCUGAAACUGCACUCGAUACUGCUCUGCUUGAGGACUGGAGAGGAGACUGGAAUUCACGGUGUAGCAGUGAAAUGCGUAGAUAUCGUGAGGAAGACCAGUGGCGAAGGCGGGUCUCUGGGCCGUAACUGACGCUGAGGAGCGAAAGCAUGGGGAGCGAACAGG
rnacentral:rRNA from 1 species